CCUACGGGAGGCAGCAGUAGGGAAUCUUCCACAAUGGACGAAAGUCUGAUGGAGCAACGCCGCGUGAGUGAAGAAGGGUUUCGGCUCGUAAAGCUCUGUUGGUAGUGAAGAAAGAUAGAGGUAGUAACUGUCCUUUAUUUGACGGUAAUUACUUAGAAAGUCACGGCUAACUACGUGCCAGCAGCCGCGGUAAUACGUAGGUGGCAAGCGUUGUCCGGAUUUAUUGGGCGUAAAGCGAGUGCAGGCGGUUCAAUAAGUCUGAUGUGAAAGCCUUCGGCUCAACCGGAGAAUUGCAUCAGAAACUGUUGAACUUGAGUGCAGAAGAGGUGAGUGGAAUUCGAUGUGUAGCGGUGGAAUGCGUAGAUAUAUGGAAGAACACCAGUGGCGAAGGCGGCUUUCUGGUCUGCAACUGACGCUGAGGCUCGAAAGCAUGGGUAGCGAACAGGAUUAGAUACCCCAGUAGUC
rnacentral:rRNA from 1 species